rnacentral:rRNA from 1 species
UUUCCGGUUGAUCCUGCCGGAAGCCACUGCUAUGGGGGUCCGACUAAGCCAUGCGAGUCAAGGGGGCGUCCCUUCUGGGACGCCACCGGCGGACGGCUCAGUAACACGUCGGUAACCUACCCUCGGGAGGGGGAUAACCCCGGGAAACUGGGGCUAAUCCCCCAUAGGCCUGGGGUACUGGAAGGUCCCCAGGCCGAAAGGGAGCCGUAAGGCUCCGCCCGAGGAUGGGCCGGCGGCCGAUUAGGUAGUUGGUGGGGUAACGGCCCACCAAGCCGAAGAUCGGUACGGGCCGUGAGAGCGGGAGCCCGGAGAUGGACACUGAGACACGGGUCCAGGCCCUACGAGGCGCAGCAGGCGCGAAACCUCCGCAAUGCGGGAAACCGCGACGGGGGGACCCCCAGUGCCGUGCCUCUGGCACGGCUUUUCCGGAGUGUAAAAAGCUCCGGGAAUAAGGGCUGGGCAAGGCCGGUGGCAGCCGCCGCGGUAAUACCGGCGGCCCGAGUGGUGGCCACUAUUAUUGGGCCUAAAGCGGCCGUAGCCGGGCCCGUAAGUCCCUGGCGAAAUCCCACGGCUCAACCGUGGGGCUCGCUGGGGAUACUGCGGGCCUUGGGACCGGGAGAGGCCGGGGGUACCCCCGGGGUAGGGGUGAAAUCCUAUAAUCCCGGGGGGACCGCCAGUGGCGAAGGCGCCCGGCUGGAACGGGUCCGACGGUGAGGGCCGAAGGCCAGGGGAGCGAACCGGAUUAGAUACCCGGGUAGUCCUGGCUGUAAAGGAUGCGGGCUAGGUGUCGGGCGAGCUUCGAGCUCGCCCGGUGCUGUAGGGAAGCCGUUAAGCCCGCCGCCUGGGGAGUACGGCCGCAAGGCUGAAACUUAAAGGAAUUGGCGGGGGAGCACUACAAGGGGUGGAGCGUGCGGUUUAAUUGGAUUCAACG